UCCACCCCCCAGGUUCGUUAUUAUUUAAUUUAUUCCUUUUUCCAAGUUUUCAAGUUAGAUUAUCAUUUAGGAUCUGUUUAGUUUGUAUUAUAAUAACUCAAAAACAAAGAGAUUUAACAAUACAUUGUUCUUCCAAUUUCUAUCUUUUUCAAUUCUUUUCGAAUAUGUGUUUUGGUAACAUAUUUAAAAACUAAAAUAUAGUUUAGCAGUUAUAACAAUUAUUAUUUUUUAACUAAGUAUGUUAUGAAUUGAGUGAGUGAGCAAAGCAGGUGAGUUGAUGAUUAAUGUGAUUUAAAUUAUGAAAAUUGCAGGCAAUAAUAAUGAUAGUAAUGGAGAAUGGGGUAUUGAAGAUGAAGACGAUGCAUUGGAACACUUUGCAAUGGAUUAUAGCACUGUAAAACGACGUCGUCCAAUACAUAAUAUGUCUUCUCAACAGCAUCCUUAAUAGUAUUUGAAGUCUUUUGCUGAAAUUGUAUUAACAAUAUGUGUAGUUAAUGUAUAUGACUUUCGCAAACUACGGACUUCAAUUGGGCGGCCGAGGAAGUACUAUUCGCUUGGACCCAAGCCCACUCCCAAACUUCUUUAUUGCCCAUCGUUUAGGAAUAAUAAGAGAUAUUAGCACCGCUUUUUUGGGUGAUUUUGAGAAACAUUUUCUCGGAUUUUUUCUAAAAAUAAUAUAAAAUUUGAAACAUAUUUCAAAAAUAAGGUGGAUGCAAAACUAUUUUAAAAAAAAAUAGGUGUUUUGAGGUGAAGUCGUGUACGGGGUACACGACUUCCAUACAGUGGACCCCACAUAUUCUAUUUUUUUCUUAUUUUUAUAUUUAUACUACACUGGGCCCCACAUUUUUUAAUUUUCCCAUUAUUUAUAUACGUGGGUCCCACACACUUCACUUUUUCUCAUUAUUUAUAUAUACAUACUCACAUAUAAUAUAAUAUAUAUAUUAUACAUUCAAAUUCUAAAAAUAUCUUUCUUUAUUAAAUUAAUUAAUUUUUUUCUUUAUAUAUAUUUAAAUAUCACAAUCUUCAAUCUUCAAUUUUUCUUAUUAAAUUCAUUUUUCUAAUUUAAUUUAAUUCUUUUUUAAUCAAAAUUAUACAUAUAUUUUUUUUCCAAUUUUCAAUUUUUUUAAAAAAAUCUCAUAUAUUAACAAAACAUGUUAUUAAAAAUAUAUUAAACAAAUUAAAAGAGUAAUAAUAAUAAUUGAGAUAAGUUAAAAUUACUAAAAAAAAAAUAAUAAUAAUAACACUUGAAGCUACACACAUUGAUAAUUGAAUAAAAAGAAAUUCAUGUUUAUGGUAAAAGAAAAAAAACAAGAAUUGGUUCGAUUACAAAUUAAAUUUAAAAACUUAAUGGAUAAUUUUGAAUUGCAAAUUUAUUGUUAUUAUUAUUUUUAGAGUACGUUUCAACUUCUUUCAAUUACUAUUAUUAUUUUUAUUUGUUUAAUGUAUUUUUUAAUAACAUAUUUGGUUAAUAUAUGUGUUUUUUUAAACAGAAAAUUAGAAAAAGAUAUAUAUAAUUUUGGUUAAGAAAUAAUUAAAUUAAAUUAGAAAAGAUGAAUUAAUAAGAAAAUUUGAAGAUUGAGAUAUUAAAUAAAUAUAUAUAUAUAUAUAUAUAAAUUAUUAUUAUUAUUUCUAUUUUUAUUUGUUUAAUAUAUUUUUAAUAACAUAUUUGUUAAUAUAUGAGUUUUUUUAAAAAAAUUAAAAAUUGGAAAAGAAGAUAGGUGUAAUUUUGAUUAAGAAAAAUUUAAAUUCAAGUAGAAAAUGAAUUUAAUAAGAAAAAUUGAAGAUUGAAGAUUGUGAUAUUUAAAUAUAUAUAUAUAUAAAGAAAAAAUAAAAAAUUAAUUAAUUUAAUAAAGAAAUAUAUUUUUAGAAUUUGAAUGUAUAAUAUAUAUAUUAUAUUAUUUGUGAGUAUGUAUAUAUAAAUAAUGAGAAAAAGUGAAGUGUGUGGGACCCACGUAUAUAAAUAAUGAGAAAAUUGAAAAAUGUGGGGCCCAGUGUAGUAUAAUAUAAAUAAAAAUGAGGAAAAAAUAGAAUAUGUGGGGUCCACUGCAUGGAAGUCGUGUACCCCGUACACGGCUUCACCUCAAAACACCUAUUUUUUAAAAUAGUUUUGCAUUCACCCUAUUUUUGAAAUAUGUUUCAAAUUUUACAUUAUUUUUUAAAAAAAUCCCAUUUUCUCUUUAAUUUUAGCUAUUAACAUUUUUCUGACGUGCAUAACCUUUUAUAAAAUAUCAAAAUAUUCGCCUUUUCCAAUUAUAAUUAUUUCGUUUCUAUAUUGUAAUUAAAUUUGUCCUGCAUUUAGCAACUCAUAUCAUAAUUUUUUUUCUUUAAUAUCCGAUGAGUCAAAUAGCGUUCGUUUGUUGAAUCAUAAAAAUAACCAAAUUAUUAUUUUUAAUUAAAUUUUGUUGUGCUCUUUUUAUUUUAGCAACUCGCUUAUUUAUUUGUUUUUCAAUGUUUCUUACUAAAUUCUAAUUAACUUAUUCUACCAAUAUACCAUAUAAUAUAUAUAUAUAUAUAUAUAAUUAGUUCAAUACUUAGUUGGAAAUGAAUUAAAAUUAAAAAACAAUUACAUUCAUUGUAUUUAGAAUAACUUUUAAACCGGAACAUGUUAAUUUUACUUAAUAACAUUAAUUAAAUUAUAUUUUAUAUCAAUAUUGGUUUUAAAGUGUAGUUAAUGUAGUUCUUACAAUAUAUUGCGUUCUUAUGAAAAAAUCUUGUCUAUAUAACUAAUUUGUGAUAUACAUUCAUGAGUUUAUCAAAAGUCUUCUAGUACAAUUAAUUUGUGGUAUUCGACGUGUUAAUAAUGUAGAGAACCUAUCAUAACCUUUUCUAAUAUCUCGGAAUAUAAAGAUAUCAACAACUUUAAUUUUUUUAAUUUCACUAUUGUGUUAAGAUUUUAACAGUUUUAUUCAUUUUUUAUUUCAAAAUAUACUAACAUUUUCGUCAUCCUUUUUUAUUUCAAAAUAAGAUCUUAAUUUAUUUUUAAAUUUUAAAUUUUGAACUUGACAAUUAAAAUUAGUUUUUCUAUUAAGAUCUCAACAUUUUUAUUAUUAUCUGAAAAUUAAAUCAUACCCUUUUUGUUAUUUCAAAAUAAGUUGGAAUAUUUAAACACCAAAUAAUUUAAAAAUUAAAAUUAGUUUUUUUAUUAGAUCUUAACUUACUUUUUAAAAUUAAUUUUUUCAAUAAACCAGUAUAUCCACAAAAUCUCCUAAAUUUCAUAUACAUUUUAUUAAUAAAUAAUAUUAAUUUUAAAAAAAUCAGCUAAAAUCCCAUCACAUAAGUUUUGCUCGACAGAUCAGGGCCUACAUCAAAUUGAUUUAAGAGGCAAGCACGAUCAAGAUUGGAGUAGGAUUCAUGCAGAGCAUAUAGCAAUGUGGCAUUCACGAAAUAAUUUUUGUGCCGAAACAGAAGCAAUACAGAAGCCGACAGUAUCAGAUAACUACUUUUCCUGGUACAUGUCGAUUACCCGACGCUUCAUGACACAUGAUGGCGCUUACUGUUAUCGCAUGGUAAUAGUUUUUUAAUAUGAUUUAUAAAUUUAAUACAAGCAUGAACAUUUUUUAAUUAUAUUAUUUACAAUCGUUCAGAAUAAUUUUGUUGAAGACGUACGUCGAGUCUCCAUGGAAAACAAUUUUGAAAUUUUUAGACCAAUGUGUGACGAAGUCGUGGGAGAUAUAGACAGCCUUGUUCAGCGGACUCGACGUUUAAAUGUUGCCGACACAGAUCGUAGAUGCAUUCGACGGCGACGACGACGACAAGGCGAUGAUGUCGUAGAGGGAGAUGGGAAGCUUCAAGUUGUAUAAAUAAAAAAUUGAACUUUUUAAAAUUAAUUAUAAAUUAGAAGUUGCUAAUACGUGAUUUAGAUGUAGGAGUAUUCUUAAUAAUAUCAAUAUAUAAUAUAUAUUUUUUAAAAGUAGAGAACCAAGUAUUAAAAAAAAUGUUCAAAAUAUUUUUUUCUCAAUCUAUCUUAAGUCACAAGAUUUCUUUAAUAAAUUAACAAAAAUUCUUAUAAGAUAUCACUAAGGAUGUGUUUUAUCUUUGGUUUAUUUUUUUAAUUUGUUCAUAAUAAACAUAAAUUAUAAAAAAUUUGGCCAUUUAAACAAAAACUAAAAUUUUCACAUAUUUAAAGUUGAACAUUUAAACAAAAACAUAAAUUUCUAACUACCCUAAUUUUGAAAAUACUUUUUAAAAACACAUUAUUUAAAAAAAAAAAUCCGUCUUUCACAAAUGUUUUUACCCUAAAAAUAGUUAAUCUUUUAAAAUAUAAUAAUUUUAAAAACAAUUAUUUAGGAAGUCGUGUACCCCGUACACGACUUUCGUCCACGACUUCCGUCCACGUGGGUCAAACUCGUCCAUACGUGGAGCGAAGUGGUCAAAUGUGCUGACAUGUACAUUUAGGAAGUCGUAUACGGGGUACACGACUUCGUUCAAUUUCAUUUGGAAGUCAUGUACCCUCCAAUUUCAAAAAAACACCUAUUUUUUAAAAUAGUUUUGGAAACACCUUAUUCUUAUAAUUUUUUUUUCUAACAACCCUAUUUUUCAAAAUAUUUUUACAAAACACAUUAUUUUUUAAAAAAAUCCGGAAAUCAAAGAUGAAGAUAUUUAUAUUUUUCUUCUUUAAAAUGUCUAAAAGAAAAAUAGAAUGUGGAUUUGUUUGCUAAAAGAAAAAAAAAAAAAAAAAAAAAAAGUGGUUGUUAGACUGAGGUGUACCCACCAGGUAUGUUCGGGCCCUAAGAGAGCCGGCCCGUAAUCCUUCCACCGACAGAAGCGGGAGGUAACGCUGCUCUGUGAAACCAGCCUCACGCUGUAUCCUCCAUCUCUAAGGGCAAAGGACUCAAGGCCUUCGCCAAGAGCCCAAGGCCCAUCUUCGUACUUGGAAUGGGCGGUUCAGUGUAAUUCUCCAAGAAACCCUACCCGUUAGGGCUUGGCCCGCUUUCAACCACUCUAAAGCCCUCAUUUGAGUUACAAGCUCACAUUACCGAGCUCGGCGAUAG
rnacentral:lncRNA from 1 species